GAGAUUCAGGACACAUCCAAGGGUGACAGCUUGAGGUUGGGUUUUUAUUUUUUUAUUUGUAUAGUACAAUCUCUGUGGUAGCAGAAAUAUAUGCACAAAAAACAAUUCAAAUAAGAGUUCAGAGUAAAAAAAAGUCAGCUAAGACUGUAUCCCGCAGGACAUUUCAUAUAUAUGGAUUUCACAGCUACACUCGAUCCACGCCCCACACCACAUACAGGCUGCUGUCUCCCACAAGAAUGAUGAUGUCAGGGGCAUCAGGAAAGGAGGGGAGAGCUCUGCUCCACACGCUGGCGGCCUUGGCUGCUCCAGAGCAAUCCGCUGCUCCAGCUUCAGCCAUGGGACCAAGAGGGUAAAGGAGCAGCUUCUGGAGGCCCCAGGCAGAGGCCACCUUGCAGCAGUGACUGGCGACUUUGCAGUACAUCUCUGCUCACUUGCUGUCCCUUGGGAGUGAGCACCGUCUAUAACACAUCGCCAUCUACAAAAGCCUGGUCACAGUGUUCACCAGCACAUUCAUGAAAAUUUAAAUCAACAUUAACCAAAGUACCUGCAAGUAACACUGCUUACUCUUGCUGUUUGCCUCAUCUGACUGGAAACCUUAGCCCCCAAAUAUGAAAUGCCUUCUCUAGAUUAAAAGGAUUCAGAGAUGUUGCACUAUUGCACUAUA
rnacentral:lncRNA from 1 species